rnacentral:siRNA from 1 species
AUGGGUUGCCUUAAUUUUCAGCCC